GACAUCCAACAAGUACUCUCUGUAUCCAGAAACACUAACUUAUCUAAGAGCAGAGAAUUCACAGGAACCCUAUAAUCGUCAGUUAGGUUUUGCAUCAAAACAGAUGCAGCAAGAAAAGCCGCAUCUCAAUGCCGUUGUGACUUUAUGAAGGUGGACAAUCCUGGUUGAGCAGAGAUAUUGCAGAUGUCUCCCCUGUCAUGGAGGAUAACCUGCCUUCCCAGCUUGUCUUACAGAUGCUGAAGAAGCUCCCAAAAUAUAGUUGGGAUUUUAGUAACAAAUAUCCUAUGAGUUGCUGAAUUGAAUUCAGUAAUCUCAGAAAACCCAGCCUGGCCCUCCAAACUCAAGCCUCUCCACUGGGUCUCACACCUUGACAGUAUGCUCCAUCGCACCGCCAUUUCUACACCCCACGCCUGGGCCUGGCUGAAACUUCAAGGCUCCCCUUGGAAGGCAGCCCAUCUUUGAGGUCAGAAGAAAACACUGUCAUUCUGAAAGUUGGCCACUCACCUUCGAAAUAUCCCAUCCCUAUGGUUUUUUUGUUGUUGUUUGUUUUGUUUAAAGGCAACAAAACGGCUAGUCUGUGACCCAUACCAGAGGUGUUAAAACAGAAG
ensembl:lncRNA novel transcript